rnacentral:rRNA from 1 species
AAUCCAAGGCGCUCGAGAGAACUCUGGCCAAGGAACUCGGCAAAAUAACCCCGUACCUUCGGAAGAAGGGGUGCUCCUUUAGGUGAAGCGAUUCACUUGUUGAGCCUGAGGGAGCCGCAGAGAAAUGGUGGUGGCGACUGUUUACUAAAAACAUAGGUCUGUGCGAAGUCGUAAAGACGACGUAUACGGACUGACGCCUGCCCGGUGCCGGAAGGUUAAAAGGAGGGGUCAGCGCAAGCGAAGCUCCGAAUUGAAGCCCCGGUAAACGGCGGCCGUAACUAUAACGGUCCUAAGGUAGCGAAAUUCCUUGUCGGGUAAGUUCCGACCUGCACGAAUGGCGUAACGAUCUCCACACUGUCUCGGCCAGAGACUCGGUGAAAUUGAAGUCGCGGUGAAAAUGCCGUGUACCCGCAGAAAGACGGAAAGACCCUGUGCACCUUUACUAUAGCUUGACAUUGGGAUUUGAACCUGCAUGUGUAGGAUAGGUGGGAGGCUGUGAACUCUGUACGCUAGUAUGGAGGGAGCCAUUGUUGAAAUACCACCCUUGUUUUUUCAGGUCCCUAACCCUCAGCCGUAAGCCGGCGAGGGAACAGUGUCUGGUGGGUAGUUUGACUGGGGCGGUCGCCUCCUAAAAUGUAACGGAGGCAUGCAAAGGUUCCCUCAGGCUGAUUGGAAACCAGCCGUCGAGUGCAAACGCAUAAGGGAGCUUGACUGCGAGAGAGACAUCUCGAGCAGGUACGAAAGUAGGUGUUAGUGAUCCGGUGGUCCCGAAUGGAAGGGCCAUCGCUCAUUGGAUAAAAGGUACGCCGGGGAUAACAGGCUGAUCGCAUCCAAGAGUUCACAUCGACGAUGCGGUUUGGCACCUCGAUGUCGGCUCAUCACAUCCUGGGGCUGAAGCAGGUCCCAAGGGUACGGCUGUUCGCCGUUUAAAGUGGUACGCGAGCUGGGUUUAAAACGUCGUGAGACAGUUUGGUCCCUAUCUUCUGUGGGCGCUGGAGAAUUGAAAGGGCCUGUCCCUAGUACGAGAGGACCGGGAUGGACGCACCCCUGGUGGACCUGUUGUCGUGCCAACGGCAUAGCAGGGUAGCUAUGUGCGGAAGGGAUAACCGCUGAAAGCAUCUAAGCGGGAAGCCUGCCUUAAGAUAAGUUCUCCCUGACGCAAGUCCUGAAGGGCCGAGGUAGACUACCUCGUUGAUAGGCUGGGGGUGGAAGCGCCGCGAGGCGUGGAGCUGACCAGUACUAAUAGCCCGUGAGGCUUGUUCUC